rnacentral:rRNA from 1 species
AUUGAACGCUGGCGGCAGGCCUAACACAUGCAAGUCGAACGAGUGGCGGACGGGUGAGUAAUGUCUGGGAAACUGCCCGAUGGAGGGGGAUAACUACUGGAAACGGUAGCUAAUACCGCAUACCAUCGGAUGUGCCCAGAUGGGAUGAGCUAGUAGGUGGGGUAACUGCUCACCUAGGCGACGAUCCCUAGCUGGGCUGAGAGGAUGACCAGCCACACUGGAACUGAGACCCGGGCCAGACGCCUACGGGAGGCAGCAGGGGGGAAUAUUGCACAAUGGGCGCAAGCCGGAUUCAGCCAUACCGCGUGUAUGAAGAAGGCCUUCGGGUUGUAAAGUACUUUCAGCGAGGAGGGGUUACUCGCAGAAGAAGCACCGGCUAACUCCGUUCCAGCAGCCGCGGUAAUAC